AGUGAACGCUGGCGGUAGGCCUAACACAUGCAAGUCGAACGGCAGCACAGUAAGAUCUUGCUCUUACGGGUGGCGAGUGGCGGACGGGUGAGGAAUACAUCGGAAUCUACUUUUUCGUGGGGGUUAACGUAGGGAAACUUACGCUAAUACCGCAUACGACCUACGGGUGAAAGCAGGGGAUCUUCUGACCUUGCGCGAUUGAAUGAGCCGAUGUCGGAUUAGCUAGUUGGCGGGGUAAAGGCCCACCAAGGCGACGAUCCGUAGCUGGUCUGAGAGGAUGAUCAGCCACACUGGAACUGAGACACGGUCCAGACUCCUACGGGAGGAAGCAGUGGGGAAUAUUGGACAAUGGGCGCAAGCCUGAUCCAGCCAUACCGCGUGGGUGAAGAAGGCCUUCGGGUUGUAAAGCCCUUUUGUUGGGAAAGAAAAGCAGCAGGUUAAUACCCCGCUGUUCUGACGGUACCAAAAGAAUAAGCACCGGCUAACUUCGUG
rnacentral:rRNA from 1 species